ACCAAGGCGACGAUCAGUAGCCGGCCUGAGAGGGUGAACGGCCACAUUGGGACUGAGACACGGCCCAAACUCCUACGGGAGGCAGCAGUGGGGAAUAUUGCACAAUGGGGGAAACCCUGAUGCAGCGACGCCGCGUGAGUGAAGAAGUAUUUCGGUAUGUAAAGCUCUAUCAGCAGGGAAGAAAUACUGACCAUAGGGUCAGCAGACGGUACUUGACUAAGAAGCCCCGGCUAACUACGUGCCAGCAGCCGCGGUAAUACGUAGGGGGCAAGCGUUAUCCGGAUUUACUGGGUGUAAAGGGAGCGUAGACGGCAGCGCAAGUCUGAAGUGAAAUGCCAGGGCUUAACCCUGGAACUGCUUUGGAAACUGUGCAGCUAGAGUGCAGGAGAGGUAAGUGGAAUUUCUAGUGUAGCGGUGAAAUGCGUAGAUAUUAGGAGGAACACCAGUGGCGAAGGCGGCUUACUGGACUGUAACUGACGUUGAGGCUCGAAAGCGUGGGGAGCAAACAGGAUUAGAUACCCUGGUAGUCCACGCUGUAAACGACCCCUAA
rnacentral:rRNA from 1 species